rnacentral:rRNA from 1 species
GACGGAGGAUGCAAGUGUUAUCCGGAAUCACUGGGCGUAAAGCGUCUGUAGGUGGUUCAAUAAGUCAACUGUUAAAUCUUGAGGCUCAACUUCAAAAUCGCAGUCGAAACUAUUGGACUCGAGUAUAGUAGGGGUAAAGGGAAUUUCCAGUGGAGCGGUGAAAUGCGUAGAGAUUGGAAAGAACACCGAUGGCGAAGGCACUUUACUGGGCUAUUACUAACACUCAGAGACGAAAGCUAGGGUAGCAAAUGGG